UUCUUUACCAGUCUGUGUAUGUAUAACAAGCCAAACAAACAACAGCAAUGGUAACAACAGCAAACAAAAACAGAAAACCCAAUAAACAGUCUCUUCCCAUUCUUUAAGCAAUUUCCCCUUUGGUGUAGUUACGGUCACAGCUGGCAGGGCAGGUGCGAUGACUCCCCCACGGCUGCAGGAGGCACUGUGGUGCGAGUUUCGGCCGUCUCCACGUGGACAAUGGCGGACGGGCUCAGCAGAAGGAGAGUGAAUGUGUGUUUUUCACAAUGACGAAAAAGACAGUCUCUUUGUUGCUGGAACUGUUGGAACAGUCUCUCUACAGCCAAGAUGCAGGCCCGUAGGGAGGAAGAGAGAUUCUCUUCAAAUUGCUGGAAUUGGCUGGCCAGUCCAGACAGUUGUGUAAUAUAUAGUAGAGAUAAUUCAUGCUAUAUAUGUGUAUAAAAUAUUGUAAGAUCCAACUUAUGUCUUUGGCCACCCUGGCUGGGAGCAGAGUCUUAUUUCUAUUCAAUUAGUUCCUGGACAUCGUUAAGAUAAUAUCAAGUCUGUUAACGUAAGAAUGAAACCUUCCUGGGCCAUGGGGCCAUGAGUGCCGACUUCCCAGGAAUGUCUGAGCUGCUCACGAGGACUUGCACCUGGGGAGAUUGCAUCUACCAACUCAAGCACUGGGCGCCACUCUGUUACAUGUGAAAGAAGGCUAUUCCGAAGAAGUUCAGACAGCCAUCCGGACAUCUGGACUGGCUUUUGUAUAUUUUUGCAUCUGUAUGGUCCCAGUUAUACAUGUGAAGGGACACAAAAGAACCUUCUGUCAUUUCUGCCUCAGGCAGAAUAAACGGGAUAUAAGCUGGCGGCAUGAAGCAGUCGGGGUGAACCGCUAAGGAGACGCUGACACUCUGUCAGUCGGAUCCAGGUUCACCCAGCGCCGACUUCUGGGGUUGACGCUGCCUUGGCUGUGGUGGUUUUUCGAAAUUCUAUUUUUGUUGUCGAUCUAAUAAAUCUUUGUUAAAUUUUUUAUAAA